UCAGUGGAAUGCGCUGCAAGCGUAUUUCAAGAGUCAUGAGGAAGUGGAAAAGCCUGGCAAGGUUAAGAUGCUGGCAGGGCAUUUAGCCAGCAAGAAGACCAAGUUCUUCUUCCUUUUCCUCUCCCAAGCGUUGAAACCACUGGCUGAUUUCAAUGUUGCAUUUCAGGCUGAAGGGGUGAUGAUACACAAGCUUCACAAGGAGAUGACCAACCUGGUAAGAAGGUGACUUGGAAGAUUUCUCCCCGCUCACCUUAUCGCUGAUGUCCCACUGAAGGACAUCAGUUUCAAGGACACAAGCCUCCAGUUGGAAAACGAUGACCUCUGUCUUGGAGAGGAAGCACAAAUGUUCUUGGAGGACAACAUUGAUGAGCUUUCCUCUUCAGUCCCAGAGCUUCUUAAGGCAGUGAGAGACUUCUUUGUAGCUGUUACCACCAAGAUGAUGUCAGCAUUUCCCCUGGACAACAUCAUGCUCCAGAACCUGACAGCGCUUGACCCAGCGUCAAGGCAUCAGUUUGCCCCAAAAUCAGUGAUAGAGCUAGGGAAAGGACUGCCACAGCUCAGCUUGGACAUGGCUAGCCUCAGGGAAGAAGUUGUAGAGUACCAGGUGGUUGACAGGGCAGAACUUCCUGAGGAAGCAAGAAUUGACAGGUUUUGGGCCAUCAUGGGAAAAGAUGCUAGGUUCAGGAAUCUGAGUAAAUUGAUGAAGGCAUUGCUGUGCAUUCCGCACAGCAAUUCCGCUUCAGAAAGGGUGUUCAGCAUGGUCAGAAAAAUAGUCACAGAAAACAGGAUGAGGAUGGACAACUCCACCCUCUGCUCACUCCUGUCCUGCAAACUAAAUUUUCCAGGACAGGCCCACACCUACGUUCCCUCAAGGAAGGUGUUACAGGCUGCAAAGCAUUGCACUUUCAACUACAAUAAGCUUUGACCUACAUGUAGCAGUUUACAUGAUGUAGUACUUUGUAGUUUUGUUUAGGGUUAGGGAAAUUAAAUCUAUUGAUAUGUAAUAAUAUGAAAUGUAAUAAUAUGCAAUAAUAACAUGAAAUUAAAUGUAAUGACAUGAAAUGUAAAUUAAAUGAAAGUAUUCAACAUAAAAUUGAGGUUUCAAUUUACUUAUUUUUUAGUUUGUUUUAUUAUUUUAAAGUCACCAGAAUGCGGGAAACAAUGUCUUUAAAGCUGGAAAUUUCCUGGGGGAGGACCCCCAGACCCCGCGCUUUAGUUCGAAAAUAGGGAGAAAUAGGGAAUUCUCCCUAUUUUCGAAGUCUCAAGGUUGGCAAGUAUGCGCCACCUACUUGACUACAACACAGGAGUUUGUGACAAGGACGUUGGCAAAUGAUACUUUAAAUCAUAAAAAUAAAUUUAAAGAAAAAACCAAACUAACGAAACAAAAUAAAACAAACUAACAAAAGAAAU
rnacentral:lncRNA from 1 species